AUGUGAAUAAAGCUGCCGGGUUGAUGGGACAUUUUACCCUCCUGCCCUGUCCUCUCUCUCGUUCUGUCUCCGUGUCACUCCGUCCCGGGCCAUCUGCUGUGUACUGAGUAGCAGUAUUGAUCUGCAGCUUUGUGCUGGAGACCACAUGCUAAUCUAAAGCGUUAGUGACAAACACCGCUUUGCCUCGCAUCUGUCCCACUGACUCUCUCUCUCUCUCUCUCUCUCUCCCUCUUUUCUCCCCAUAUAACCAGUGUCGUCCUCCCUCCCCGAAUCUCUACCUCUCAUUCAUUCUCUCCUUCAAUGACCGAAUAUUUUUUAGGGUUUGGGGAGCCAUCUGUCCGCCUGUAAACUCAUCUUUCUCCUCCUCCUGCAGUGGUUGGUUGGGUGCUGCAUGUGAGAAUCAGCGCAAAGGCUGCAUACUGAGGUGGUGUCUCUGACUUUUUAAACUUCUGAUCAAAGAGACGGAUAAGAAGAAGAAGAAGAAGAAAAGGACUAUCAAUAAUUCAUACCGAAAAACACAACACGCUGAAUUCAAAAUGACAGAAGAUUAGUGGAACUGAAGAAUGUGCCCAAAAGAGUUGCGACAUAUUUAAUAUUACUAUUAUUCUAUGUAUCAAUGAAAUGCUACACAUUUAACCUGGCUGUGGACAUUGUAACGUAAAUGUGACACUGUGAUAUUAAGAAAUGUUUUCUUUGUCUUGUUGAUUACCCUUGACACGACCAGAAAUGUAUGACACCACUAAAAUGUCAAUUCAUUUUUUUAAAUGUUGUUUUUCUCUUUUC